GAUGAACGCUAGCUACAGGCUUAACACAUGCAAGUCGAGGGGAAACGACAUCGAAAGCUUGCUUUUGAUGGGCGUCGACCGGCGCACGGGUGAGUAACGCGUAUCCAACCUGCCCAUCACUUGGGAAUAACCUUGCGAAAGUAAGACUAAUACCCAAUGACAUCCCACGAAGACAUCUGAAUGGGAUUAAAGAUUUAUCGGUGAUGGAUGGGGAUGCGUCUGAUUAGCUUGUUGGCGGGGUAACGGCCCACCAAGGCAACGAUCAGUAGGGGUUCUGAGAGGAAGGUCCCCCACAUUGGAACUGAGACACGGUCCAAACUACUACGGGAGGCAGCAGUGAGGAAUAUUGGUCAAUGGGCGAGAGCCUGAACCAGCCAAGUAGCGUGCAGGAUGACGGCCCUAUGGGUUGUAAACUGCUUUUAUAAGGGAAUAAAGUGGGUCUCGUGAGACUUUUUGCAUGUACCUUAUGAAUAAGGACCGGCUAAUUCCGUG
rnacentral:rRNA from 1 species